GCGUCGGUGGUUCAGUGGUAGAAUACUCGCCUGCCACGCGGGUGGAACGGGUUCGAUUCCCGGCCGACGCA
rnacentral:tRNA from 1 species